rnacentral:misc_RNA from 1 species
AAGUCGUAACAAGGUUUCCGUAGGUGAACCUGCGGAAGGAUCAUUAUUGAAUAAAUCUGACGUGGUUGUCGCUGGCUCCCCCGGGAGCAUGUGCACGCCCGUCACCUUUAUUUCUCCACCUGUGCACACACUGUAGGCCUGGAUACCUCUCGUCGCAAGGCGGAUGCGUGGCUUGCUGUCGCUUUCGAAAGAAGGCCGGCUUGCCAUAAAUUUCCAGGUCUAUGAUUUCUUACACACCCCAAACUGAAUGUUAUGGAAUGUCAUCUCAAGGCCUUGUGCCUAUAAACCUAUACAACUUUCAGCAACGGAUCUCUUGACUCUC